UGCAAGGAGCUGUCACCAUCGUCAAGAUGGAGUAAGGCAAUCUCCAUAUUCGAACAUGAUGAACGUUUUAAAGCUGUUGAGCAAGCUAAAGACCGUGAGGACCUUUUUGAAGAUUAUGUGGAGGAACUUGAGAAAAAGGAGCAUGCGAAGGCAUGGGUGGAGCAGAAGCGCAAUAGAGUGGAGUACUUAGAAUUUUUAAAAUCCUG